GAAAAUCAGGCCCGACCCACGCAAAACCUAUUCCCUUUCCCCUUCCCCUUCCUCGUCACACCGCCGUCAGGUCUCCCGCUGCGGCGACGGCGCCCCUUCCGCCUCCGCCUCCGCCUCCGCCUCGCCGACCACGCCCCUCCUCCAAUCUCCCACGCAUCCAAACCACUCUCUCCCCUCUCCCACCCCCACCUCCUGCGCCUGCGAGGAGCGAUUCGUCGAGGAACCGCUGAGCAAGGCCAUCGACGCGUGCUUGAUCUGGUGUCUCUGUUUCUCUCUCGUACUCGAUCCCGAUCCACCCCCUUCUCUCGGCGCGGCGCAUGCGGGAAAGCUCGCUGCUGCGGUGGGCCUUGACGGCGGCGAGCAGGGAGCCGGCGAGGUAGACCACAAGGGCCGUCAUGGGCUCCACCUGCGCCCUCUUGCCGGCGGACUGCUGGUCGCCUCGGACUCCCGCGGCAUCUCCGACUGGCACAAGCUGCAGGUCCUGGGUGAGCCCGGAGAAGAAGCUGAUUGCCGAGUGCCAGGCGGCUGACCCGGGGGUGCUCAUCAACGCCUACAGCUUCUACGGGCUCCCAAGAGUGCAUCCACAUCACGGAGCAGAAGCUGGUUGCCGAGUGCUAGGCGGCUGACCAGGUGAUGCUCACCUUCUAUCAUUGCUCCUACCGUCUGCCAAGAGGGCAUCCUCAUGUAUGCUCUUACUGGCUGCCUCAGGCGAGGCAGUCCCGCUUCCCGCCCCGGUCUGCAUGCUCGGUGAUGCCAAGCAUGUGAGGGAAGUAUCUGCCAUUUACUGCUUCAUCAUAACCUUCGUGCCUGGCUAGUGGCUACUAUGGCUUGACGGACUACCUCCUCAGCCACUACCUCAGCUUCCCACACAACAUGAUGACAGUGGUUUUGCUGCAACCGUGGCGGUGGUGGCAGCCCCUAACUUGGUUCUGCCUUAAUGUGCUAAGAACAUGAAGCGUAUGGAGAUUAUCUCUUGCUCUCUGAGAUGGUGCUGGCCGUCGAGCUAGGUUGCUGUGAUGCACAACCACGUCGGUUAUUUCCAAACGGAGGGAGUAGUAACUAAUGUUGUUGCAGUUGAAUAAUCGUUGGUGCUAUCAUCAAUCAAUGUGGUGCAUAUGUAGCCGGGCUUUAGGGAGGAGGGUCUAGAGCCUAGAGCCUCCGUGAAGUUUGAUCUUGCGGAGGAGGGCGAGAAGGUGAAUGGAGCUUGUAGUGCCGCUUGGUCGAAAUUGGGUUGCUGCUGAUGCGAUUGAUUUCUGGUGGUGUGGACGGGUGCCUGGUGCCACUUUGUUUGUUUAUACGAUCUUUGCUUUGCAGGACAACACCCACCCAUAUAACUUGUGUGGACUUUGACGGUGAUCCGGCUGUGGCAGUACCAGUUUGUGCUGUAGGGGCGGUGCCAAUACUUUUUGUUGCUGUUGGGUGUAGGUCGAAUGUAAAUUGUUGAGUUUGUCAGCAGGUCGAAUGUAAAUUGUUGAGUUUGUCAGCAGGGUGUCGGAAAUUUUGGAUUGUAAACUGAAUAAGUCAAUGUAAACAAGUAGGGACAGAUUGGCUGGCUGAACCCUUGUUUCCCCAUGAAUGAAUGAAUGUAUUUUUGGUUAUUCUC